AUUGAACGCUGGCGGUAUGCUUAACACAUGCAAGUCGAACGGUAACAUUUCUAGCUUGCUAGAAGAUGACGAGUGGCGGACGGGUGAGUAACGCGUAGGGAUCUACCCAGUUGGCGGGGGAUAGCCCGGUGAAAACCGGAUUAAUACCGCAUAAUACCUUCGGGUGAAAGGUUGCCUCUCCUUGGAAGCAAUCGCAAUUGGAUGAACCUGCGUCAGAUUAGCUAGUUGGUGGGGUAAUGGCCUACCAAGGCGACGAUCUGUAGCUGGUCUGAGAGGAUGAUCAGCCACACUGGGACUGAGACACGGCCCAG
rnacentral:rRNA from 1 species